UCGGCCAUACUGAGGUCAAGGUUACAAGCACAGACCGUUUCCAGCGGUUAAGGAGAAGAGCUGCGAGGUCUCAACAGCAACCCCCAUCACUAGGCACUGACAACACUGGUCCUGAGGCUGAGUUGGAUAAUGCAGCACCUUUUAUACCAAGACAACACUACACCUGCAACUGAGAUGGAAGGUCCCAUGAAUCCACCCCCAACGCCAGGCACUGUCCACACCGAGUUGAAUGAAGUUGCAGCACACUUGUUCGCAGGGGCCACAGCCAACUUAAUGCAAAAGAUGUGGAAGAGACCAGGAAGUUGGCUCAUGUCCGGAUCCACGUGGAGCGAGUGAUUGGGUGUAUGCACUCUAAGUUUAACAUAUUAAAUGACACAAUACACCUGGGAUUUGUGGUGCCUUGUGAAGGAGAGGAUAUGACUUUGCCGGAUAAAGUUGUUGUUAUUUGUUGUGCUUUGACCAAUAUGUGUCCUAGUAUUGUUGUA